rnacentral:rRNA from 1 species
AACGAACGCUGGCGGCAUGCCUAACACAUGCAAGUCGAACGAGACCUUCGGGUCUCGCGGCGCACGGGUGCGUAACGCGUGGGAACCUGCCCUUAGGUUCGGAAUAACUCCCCGAAAGGGGUGCUAAUACCGGAUAAUGUCUUCGGACCAAAGAUUUAUCGCCUUUGGAUGGGCCCGCGUUGGAUUAGCUUGUUGGUAGGGUAAAAGCCUACCAAGGCGACGAUCCAUAGCUGGUCUGAGAGGAUGAUCAGCCACACUGGGACUGAGACACGGCCCAGACUCCUACGGGAGGCAGCAGUGGGGAAUAUUGGACAAUGGGCGAAAGCCUGAUCCAGCAAUGCCGCGUGAGUGAUGAAGGCCUUAGGGUUGUAAGGCUCUUUUACCCGGGAUGAUAAUGACAGUACCGGGAGAAUAAGCUCCGGCUAACUCCGUG